CCUACGGGUGGCAGCAGUAGGGAAUAUUGCUCAAUGGGGGAAACCCUGAAGCAGCAACGCCGCGUGGAGGAUGAAGGUUUUCGGAUUGUAAACUCCUUUUGUUAGAGAAGAUAAUGACGGUAUCUAACGAAUAAGCACCGGCUAACUCCGUGCCAGCAGCCGCGGUAAUACGGAGGGUGCAAGCGUUAUUCGGAAUCACUGGGCGUAAAGAGCGCGUAGGCGGGAUAGCAAGUCAGCUGUGAAAUCCUAUGGCUUAACCAUAGAACUGCAUUUGAAACUGUUAUUCUAGAGUAUGGGAGAGGUAGGUGGAAUUCUUGGUGUAGGGGUAAAAUGCGUAGAGAUCAAGAGGAAUACUCAUUGCGAAGGCAACCUGCUAGAACGUAACGGACGCUGAUGCGCGAAAGCGUGGGGAGCAAACAGGAUUAGAUACCCCAGUAGUC
rnacentral:rRNA from 1 species